CCCUUUUAGAAGCUGCUAUAACUGCGUGUAUUGAACAACCAGCAGAUGUAGCCCUUAGCCCAUUCCUUCAAGUCAUUUAUUUGAACGCUAUUGAUGGAUACUAAUUAUGUACGUUUUGUCUGUAUUCGUGCUCGACGACGGGACCACUCUGGGUGAAGAAUGAGAAGGACCACCAUUUCCAUCAGAAGAAUGACCGAGUAUCAGAGGAAUUAUCAUUAGGACAUUCAUUGAGCUUUUUUAAAACCGUUUUAUUUAUUUUUUACAUUUCUAGGAGUUGGAAACUUUACAUGAGAUGAAAGGCGCAGAGAGACUCAUCUUUCUGGGCUGGCUGCUGAAAGGUACCCUGUGUCAAGGAGGGCGGAAAGAAUCGGACUGCACUA